UCAGUGUCUGUGUCACAAGGGAGGACAUGUUCAACCGAGGCUUGGCACAAUGGAAGCGGCAGAAGAAGUCCUCUCCGAAGAAUCCCCUCAGAGUUACUUUCAUUUGAGAACCUGGGAUAGACAGUGGUGCUCUUAUGAAAGAAUACCUGACAGAAAUGAUGGCUGGGAUUGAGGCAAAAUUCUUAGAGGGAGGGAAUUCUGGGAAAAAUCUGAAGUAUUCCAUUACAGAUUUCAGAAUGACAAUUUCAGGACAGUUGGUGAAAUAAUGGCUGUGAGCAUUACACAGGAUGGCCCUCCACCUAACUUUUUCAUGGAGUGGAUGUACAACUUCAUCUCUUCCGGGGAGCUCAAUAAAGAUCAGCUGUCAAAGGCUGAUGUAACAGAUGCAGACCUGCUAGAUCUU